rnacentral:tRNA from 1 species
GCCUCAAUAGUUAAAUGGUAUAACCCAUCAAUGGUAAUGAUGUAUCCGUAGUUCGAUUCUGCGUUGAGGCACCA